GAUGAACGCUGGCGGCGCGCCUAACACAUGCAAGUCGAACGAUUAAAGCACCUUCGGGUGUGUAUAAAGUGGCGAACGGCUGAGUAACACGUGGGCAACCUGCCCCUCUCAUUGGGAUAGCCACGGGAAACCGUGGAUAAUACCGAAUACUUCGGGACUUCCGCAUGGAAGACUCGAGAAAGCUCCGGCGGAGAGGGAUGGGCCCGCGGCCUGUUAGCUUGUUGGUGGGGUAACGGCCUACCAAGGCAAUGAUGGGUAGCUGGGUUGAGAGACCGACCAGCCAGAUUGGGACUGAGACACGGCCCAGACUCCUACGGGAGGCAGCAGUGGGGAAUCUUGCACGAUGGGCGAAAGCCUGAUGCAGCGACGCCGCGUGCGGGAUGAAGGCCUUCGGGUUGUAAACCGCUUUCAGCAGGGACGAGGCGAAAGUGACGGUACCUGCAGAAGAAGCCCCGGCUAACUACGUGCCAGCAGCCGCGGUAAUACGUAGGGGGCAAGCGUUAUCCGGAUUCAUUGGGCGUAAAGCGCUCGUAGGCGGUCUGUUAGGUCGGGAGUUAAAUCCGGGGGCUCAACCCCCGUUCGCUCCCGAUACCGGCAGACUUGAGUUUGGUAGGGGAAGGUGGAAUUCCUAGUGUAGCGGUGGAAUGCGCAGAUAUUAGGAAGAACACCAGUGGCGAAGGCGGCCUUCUGGGCCAUAACUGACGCUGAGGAGCGAAAGCUAGGGGAGCAAACAGG
rnacentral:rRNA from 1 species